rnacentral:rRNA from 1 species
UCUUUGAGGUAGUCAUUAGCGAGAUAAACCAAGUAUUUUUGACCUGAAUAUAUAGGGUUAAAAAAGCAAACCCGGGGAACUGAAACAUCUAAGUACCCGGAGGAAAGGAAAUCAAUAGAUACUCCCCUAGUAGCGGCGAGCGAACGGGGACCAGCCGAGUGAUGAUUGCGACUAGAAUAGCCUGGAAAGGCUAACCAAAGAGGGUGACAGUCCCGUAUAGGAAGUAUGAUUCAACGUAUUAAGUAGGGCGGGACACGUGAAAUCCUGUCUGAACAUGGGGGGACCACCCUCUAAGGCUAAGUACUCCUUACUGACCGAUAGCGAACCAGUACCGUGAGGGAAAGGUGAAAAGCACCCCGACAAGGGGAGUGAAACAGUUUCUGAAACCGGACGCCUACAAACAGUUGGAGGGCCCUCGAGGCCUGACAGCGUACCUUUUGUAUAAUGGGUCAUCGACUUGGUCUAUCUAGCAAGCUUAAGCCGUUAGGUGUAGGCGUAGCGAAAGCGAGUCUUAAUAGGGCGAAUGAGUUAGAUGGAUCAGACCCGAAACCGAGUGAUCUAGGCAUGACCAGGCUGAAGGUGAGGUAACACUUACUGGAGGGCCGAACCCACACCUGUUGAAAAAGGUCGGGAUGAGUUGUGCCUAGGGGUGAAAGGCCAAUCAAACUCGGAGAUAGCUGGUUCUCCGCGAAAUCUGUUUAGGUAGAGCGUCAUCCGAAUACCCCGGGGGGUAGAGCACUGGA